rnacentral:rRNA from 1 species
GACGAACGCUGGCGGCGUGCCUAAUACAUGCAAGUCGAGCGAAGUUUUUCUGGUGCUUGCACCGGAAAAACUUAGCGGCGAACGGGUGAGUAACACGUAAAGAACCUGCCUCAUAGACUGGGACAACUAUUGGAAAAGAUAGCUAAUCCAGGAUAAUAUCAUUAUCUGCUUGGUUGGUGUUUAAAAGUUUGUUUUGUUAAGUCUAUGCGAUGGCUUUACGUUGCAUUAGCUUGUUGGUGGGGUAAAGGCCUACCAACGCGAAGAUGCAUAGCCGACAUGAGGGGGUGGUCGGACACACGGGGAGUGAGACACGGCAGAGACUCCGACGGGAGGCAGCAGUAGAGAAUCUUACGCAAAGGACGAAAGCCUGACAGAGCAACGCCGCGUGAGUGAAGAAGGAGUUCGGUUCGUAAAGCGAUGUUGUUAGGGAAGAAUGAUUGUGUAGUAACUAUACACAGUAGAGACAGUACCUAAACAGAAAGCCACGGCUAACUACGUG